GUACUCAUUUUCAAAGCACAUAUCUAAAAUUGGAAUGAUACAGUAAAGAUUGGCAUGGCAGUGCACCAAGAUGACACACACAUUCAUGAAGCAUUCCGUAUUCCU